UGUAUACAGCAAGUUGGAUGUCUUGAACACUAUGAGCACCAGUGGUGCUCCGAAUUUCCGGCAAGCCAAAGGAGGCUACGCAGUGUUUGGUAUGGGUCAGCCCAGCCUCAAUGGUUUCAAGCUUGUGCUGCAGAAGCUGCAGAGAGAAGGCCACAAGGAGUGUGUUUUCUUCUGUGUUCGUGAGGAACCCGUGCUGUUCUUGCGGGUGGAGAGCGACUUUGUGCCCUACACACCAC